CCUUCCGCUUCCGGGUGGUGCCCGCACGCGUGGGUGCUGCUGCUCCUGUCCGGGCCUGCGACAUCCCCGGCAUGGACCGGCCGCGCUUCCCCUCCCGCGCCAGCACCGGCGGCUUCGCUGGGCCGCGGGGAGGGCUGAGCAGCGCGGCGGGGAGGCCUUGCCGGGCGGCCGCUGUUGUGCUCAGCCUCUCCCUGGGGGCCCUCGAGGACCUCCGGGCUGUGCCGGCGUCGCCGGCCUUCGGAUGGGGUCUGGGGUUUAACCCGCCGGCUCUUCGGUGGUGCAGGCGGUGGUGGAGAUCCCUCGGGCUGGGGCUGUGUUUGGGUCAAGGGAAAUCCGGGGAGAAGGGGCUGGUGGAGCCGGGCUGCGCGGGAGUAGCCGCGGUGCUAAAGCGUGCUGGGGUGCGCCGGUGGCAGCGGGGAGCCGCUCCCCCGUUCAGUCGGCACCUUCUGUCCCCGCAGGCGGCGGAGGCUGUGGGCAGCUGGCAAAGCAUGGCUCUGUCUCCUUCCUGGCUUUGGCCGUGUCGGGGACCGAUUUGACUGCGUUCAGUUGCCCGGGUUUGGUUGAUUUUUGAUGGGCUGAAUGAGGAGGUUUGUCCCUCAGAAGGUAGCGGCGCUUUGCACGUUCGGAUUUGGUGCUGAGAGCGGAGGCCCGAGUAGUUCUGCACAGCUUGUGCUGUCACCCGAGCAGCUGGCAGGGCUGGCAGCGGCAUGGAAAAAUGGGAGCAAGACGGCUUGGCUGCCUGCGCAAAAGGAUGGUUCAGUGAGUGCCGGAGCAAGGGCAGGGCUGCCGAAUGUCAGAGAAGUGCUGCAUUUGGAACGUGUCCUGCAGACGGCCGCCUGUGCAGCCAGCUUUGCUUGCUCUCCUGGGCACAUGCCGUAUUGUUUCCAAGAACUUGGCGCAGAGCGUGGCGGUCUCCGAAAGCAGCAGGGCCUAUCCUAUAAUGGUUUAAAUCAUCUGUUCAGAAGAAAUAUUAAUGGAAUUCCCAUAAGACUCCUGGCAUUUUGCUGAUGUUCCUGUUAGAAGACCUAUCGCCUCAUUUUUGAAAACUCUCAUAAAAGCUCCAGUAUUCAAACUGCAAGGAUUAAAUGCUCAGUCAGUCAUAAACUGGGUUUACUUCAGAC